CUUGUACAGUUUCAGAGUCAGAUAAGGUUCUUGGUAAUGUUGUGACUGUUGUUGUAACAUCUGAUGGAACAUUAACAACAUUACCGCGUAAAAUUCGUUGACCUCCACGGGGUUUUACA
rnacentral:precursor_RNA from 10 species